rnacentral:rRNA from 1 species
GACGAACGCUGGCGGCGUGCUUAACACAUGCAAGUCGAACGCUGAGGACCUGGCUUUUGUUGGGUUGGAUGAGUGGCGAACGGGUGAGUAACACGUGAGUAACCUGCCCUCUUCUUUGGGAUAACGCCCGGAAACGGGUGCUAAUACUGGAUAUUCACUGAUCUUCGCAUGGGGGUUGGUGGAAAGGUUUGUUCUGGUGGGGGAUGGGCUCGCGGCCUAUCAGCUUGUUGGUGGGGUGAUGGCCUACCAAGGCUUUGACGGGUAGCCGGCCUGAGAGGGUGACCGGUCACAUUGGGACUGAGAUACGGCCCAGACUCCUACGGGAGGCAGCAGUGGGGAAUAUUGCACAAUGGGCGAAAGCCUGAUGCAGCGACGCCGCGUGAGGGAUGGAGGCCUUCGGGUUGUAAACCUCUUUCGCUCAUGGUCAAGCCGCAACUGUGGGUUGUGGUGAGGGUAGUGGGUAAAGAAGCGCCGGCUAACUACGUG